CUGCCAUCUUGUGAAGAAGGUACUUGCUUCUCCUUCACCUUCUCCCAUGAUUGUAAGUUUCCUGAGGCUUCCCCAGCCAUGAGAACUGUAUUCAGAGACUCAGAGUGGAACCAUACCAUUUGUUCUACUGGGUGUCCAGUUUGCCGACUGCAGAUCACGGGAUUAUAUAGCCUCCAUAAUCACGAGCCAAUUUCUUACGGUACUCAGGAAAGGCCAUGUGGGCAUGCAGCAAGAUGACAGCCAUCUGGAAGCUAGGAAAAGAAUCCUUACCAGAACCCAACCGUUUUGGCACCCUAAUCUCAGACUUCCAGCCUCCUUGAAGAAAAUAAACUGUGAGAAAAUAAAUUUUUGUUGUUUGGUCUACCCAGUAUCUUC